rnacentral:rRNA from 1 species
GACGAACGCUGGCGGCGUGCUUAACACAUGCAAGUCGAACGAAGUGGCGAACGGGUGAGUAACGCGUAAUCAACCUGCCCUUCAGAGGGGGAGAACAGAGGGAACCGACUGCUAAUACCGAAUACUGAAGGAGGGGAUGGCGUCUGAUUAGCUCUUUGGCGGGGUAACGGCGAACCAAGGCGAUGAUCAGUAGCCAGUCUGAGAGGAUGAACGGCCACAUUGGGACGAAGACACGGCCCAGACUCCUACGGGAGGGCGCAGUGGGGAAUCUUCCGCAAUGGAGGAAAGUCUGACGGAGCAACGCCGCGUGAGUGAUGACGGCCUUCGGGUUGUAAAGCUCUGUUAAUCGGGACGCGGUACCGGCAUAGAAAGCCACGGCUAACUACGUGCCAGCAGCCGCGGUAAUUC